rnacentral:rRNA from 1 species
CGCAAUGGGCGAAAGCCUGACGGAGCGACGCCGCGUGAUGGACGAAGUGGUUCGCCACGUAAACAUCUUUUAUGAGGGAUGAAGUAAUUGACAGUACCUCAGGAAUAAGGGGCUCCUAACUCUGUGCCAGCAGGAGCGGUAAUACAGAGGCCCCAAGCAUUAUCCGGAAUCACUGGGCGUAAAGGGUCUCAAGGUGGUUAUGUUAGUCGUUUGUAAAAUCCGGGGGCUCAACCUCCGGCCCGCAAGCGAAACGGCAUGACUAGAGGGUGGGAGAGGUGCGUGGAACUCACGGUGUAGGGGUGAAAUCCGUUGAUAUCGUGGGGAACACCAAAGGCGAAGGCAGCGCACUGGCCCAUUCCUGACACUCACAGACGAAAGCCA